rnacentral:rRNA from 1 species
UACGGAGGGUGCAAGCGUUGCUCGGAAUCACUGGGCGUAAAGCGUACGCAGGCGGCGCGAUAGGUCGGGUGUGAAAGCCCGGGGCUCAACCCCGGUAUUGCGCCCGAUACUGACGAGCUUGAGUACGGGAGAGGGAUAGCGGAAUUCCUGGUGUAGAGGUGAAAUUCGUAGAUAUCAGGAGGAACACCAGUGGCGAAAGCGGCUUCCUGGCCCGAUACUGACGCUCAUGUACGAAAGCGUGGGGAGCAAACAGG